rnacentral:rRNA from 1 species
GUGAGGAAUAUUGCGCAAUGGAGGCAACUCUGACGCAGCCAUGCCGCGUGCAGGAAGAAGGCGCUACGCGUUGUAAACUGCUUUUAACCGGGAAAAAACCCCAGGACGUGUCCUGGGUUGACGGUACCGGAGGAAUAAGCACCGGCUAACUUCGUGCCAGCAGCCGCGGUAAUACGAAGGGUGCAAGCGUUAUCCGGAUUCAUUGGGUUUAAAGGGUGCGUAGGCGGAGCGUUAAGUCAGUGGUGAAAUCCUGCAGCUUAACUGUAGACUUGCCAUUGAUACUGGCGCUCUUGAGUGCGCUUGAAGUGGGCGGAAUGUGCCGUGUAGUGGUGAAAUGCUUAGAUAUGGCACAGAACACCAAUUGCGAAGGCAGCUCACUAAGGCGAUACUGACGCUGAGGCACGAAAGCGUGGGGAUCGAACAGGAUUAGAAACCCGGGUAGUCC